CAGCAGCCGCGGUAAUACGUAGGUCCCGAGCGUUGUCCGGAUUUAUUGGGCGUAAAGGGAGCGCAGGCGGUUUAGUAAGUCUGAAGUUAAAGGCAUUGGCUCAACCAAUGUAUGCUUUGGAAACUGUUAGACUUGAGUGCAGAAGGGGAGAGUGGAAUUCCAUGUGUAGCGGUGAAAUGCGUAGAUAUAUGGAGGAACACCGGUGGCGAAAGCGGCUCUCUGGUCUGUCACUGACGCUGAGGCUCGAAAGCGUGGGUAGCGAACAGGAUUAGAUACCCGAGUAGUCCCUGUCUCUUAUACA
rnacentral:rRNA from 1 species